GCACCGGUGGUGUAUGGUACACACGUCAGAGCAAUGGUCGAAUAAUGCUUCAGAAUCCACUCAUGGCCAGCUCGGGGUUCGACUCCCCGCCGGUGCA